rnacentral:SRP_RNA from 1 species
ACUGGGCGUCGUGGCGGGCGCCUGUGAGCCAGCUUCUAGGCAGUAGAUUGGUGUGGAUGGAGUGAGGGGAGGAGUCCCGUGGCGGUCGUGGUGUACGACGACCGGGCGUCCGCGCCAAGCGUUGCGUCGCCAGGGUGCCGCUGUCGGAGGACGGUGGCACCCGGGCGGUCAAGGGGGGGGGGGUGCACGGCUCAGGCCCGAAAGGGAGCAGGCAAAAGCCCCCGCGCGACGCAGUGGCCGGUUAGCGCUCGCGAAUGCUCACGUCGUCACGGCCUCUCCGAUACCUUCGAACCUCCAAUCGU